GUGACUCUUGUAAGUUCGUCUGUAAUAAACCACUCAAACGCCUGUGCAUAGAGGAUUCCAAGGGGCAGUGCUCUUGCCAAUGUGUAAACAAGACAUUUCCAUGUCCGCCUCCGAAUAACGCCACUUGUCCCAGUGGUGCUCCGGACACUUGCUACGCGGACAACGAUAUUUGCUUCUGCAAAUGCUGGUAGGUGCACCAAGACGACCGCUUGGAUUUGCGCUUUGUUUCUGUGCUUCGAACUGUGCAGGUAUACACCACAUCCUUACUGGAGAAAAAUGAAUGGAG